GGGUAGGCGGGUGUCCCCGUCCUCCCUCGCUGCCCCAUGUGUGCCCCUCCUAAAGCUGCAUACUCAGUUGAAGAGGACGAGAGGACGACCUUCUCUGAUAGAGGAGGACCACGCUUCAGUCAAAGGCAUACAAGUAUCUGGACUUCCCUGCUAGCACUUCCAAACAAGCUCAGAGAUGUUCCUCUUCUCGUCUGUCUGGGUUCAGUACCAUGGACAGCGCCCUCGAC
rnacentral:snRNA from 1 species